CGCUGGCGGCGUGCUUAAAACAUGCAAGUCGAACGAUGAGCUUGCUCCGAGGAUCAGUGGCGAACGGGUGAGUAAACACGUGAGUACCUGCCCUGGACUCUGGAAUAACCUCGGGAAACCGAAGCUAAUACCGGAUACAGGCAUCUGGAAAGAUUUUCGGUCCAGGAUGGACUCGCGGCCUAUCAGCUUGUUGGUGGGGUAAAGGCCUACCAAGGCGACGACGGGUAGCCGGCCUGAGAGGGUGACCGGCCACACUGGGACUGAGACACGGCCCAGACUCCUACGGGAGGCAGCAGUUGGGAAUAUUGCACAAUGGGCGCAAGCCUGAUGCAGCGACGCCGCGUGAGGGAUGACGGCCUUCGGGUUGUAAACCUCUUUCAGCAGGGAAGAACAAGUGACGGUACCUGCAGAAGAAGCACCGGCUAACUACGUGCCAGCAGCCGCGGUAAUACGUAGGGUGCAAGCGUUGUCCGGAAUUAUUGGGCGUAAAGAGCUCGUAGGCGGUUUGUCGCGUCUGCUGUGAAUCCCGAGGCUCAACCUCGGGCCUGCAGUGGGUACGGGCAGACUAGAGUGUGGUAGGGGAGACUGGAAUUCCUGGUGUAGCGGUGGAAUGCGCAGAUAUCAGGAGAACACCGAUGGCGAAGGCAGGUCUCUGGGCCACUACUGACGCUGGGGAGCGAAAGCAUGGGGAGCGAACAGGAUUAGAUACCCUGGUAGUCCAUGCCGUAAACGUUGGGCACAAGGUGUGGGGCUCUUCCAGAGUUCCGUGCCGCAGCAAACGCAUUAAGUGCCCCGCCUGGGGAGUACGGCCGCAAGGCUAAAACUCAAAGGAAUUGACGGGGGCCCGCACAAGCGGCGGAGCAUGCUGAUUAAUUCGAUGCAACGCGAAGAACCUUACCAAGGCUUGACAUAACCGAAAACUCAUGGAGACAUGGGGUCCGCAAGGCGGUAUACAGGUGGUGCAUGGUUGUCGUCAGCUCGUGUCGUGAGAUGUUGGGUUAAGUCCCGCAACGAGCGCAACCCUCGUCCUAUGUUGCCCGCGUUAUGCGGGGACUCAUAGGAGACUGCCGGGGUCAACUCGGAGGAAGGUGGGGAUGAGGUCAAAUCAUCAUGCCCCUUAUGUCUUGGGCUUCAAGCAUGCUACAAUGGCCGGUACAAAGGGCUGCGAUACCGCAAGGUGGAGCGAAUCCCAAAGCCGGUCUCAGUUCGGAUUGGGGUCUGCAACUCGACCCCAUGAAGUCGGAGUCGCUAGUAAUCGCAGAUCAGAACGCUGCGGUGAAUACGUUCUCGGGCCUUGUACACACC
rnacentral:rRNA from 1 species